rnacentral:rRNA from 1 species
UACAGAGGUCUCAAGCGUUGUUCGGAUUCAUUGGGCGUAAAGGGUGCGUAGGCGGCGCGGUAAGUCUGCUGUGAAAGUCCAGGGCUCAACCCUGGGAUGCCGGUGGAUACUGUCGGGCUAGAGUGCGGAAGAGGCGAGUGGAAUUCCCGGUGUAGCGGUGAAAUGCGCAGAUAUCGGGAGGAACACCAAUUGCGAAGGCAGCUCGCUGGGACGUAACUGACGCUGAGACGCGAAAGCGUGGGGAGCAAACAGG